CAGGAGMNNUGCUCUCUGGGUGKBGAGUGGCGGACGGGUKWCGAAUACAUCGGACAGNKAGCCUUUUCGUGGGGGACAACGUAGGGAAACUUCACGCUAAUACCGCAUAAGCACCUUCGGGUGAAAGCCGGGGACCUUCGGGCCUGGCGCGGAUAGACGAGCCGAGGUCGGAGCAGCUUGUUGGCGGGGUAAAAGCCCACCAAGGCGACGAUCCGUAGCUGGUCUGAGAGGAUGAUCAGCCACACUGUAACUGAGACACGGUCCAGACUCCUACGGGAGGCAGCAGUGGGGAAUAUUGGACAAUGGGCGCAAGCUGAUCCAGCCAUACCGCGUGGGUGAAGAAGGCCUUCGGGUUGUAAAGCCCUUUUGUUGGGAAAGAAAUCCUGUCGGUUAAUAACCGGUAGGGAUGACGGUACCCAAAGAAUAAGCACCGGCUAACUUCGUGCCAGCAGCCGCGGUAAUACGAAGGGUGCAAGCGUUACUCGGAAUUACUGGGCGUAAAGCGUGCGUAGGUGGUUGUUUAAGUCUGUCGUGAAAGCCCUGGGCUCAACCUGGGAAUUGCGAUGGAUACUGGGCGACUAGAGUGUGGUAGAGGACAGUGGAAUUUCCGGUGUAGCAGUGAAAUGCGUAGAGAUCGGAAGGAGCAUCUGUGGCGAAGGCGACUGUCUGGGCCAACACUGACACUGAGGCACGAAAGCGUGGGGAGCAAACAGGAUUAGAUACCCUGGUAGUCCACGCCCUAAACGAUGCGAACUGGAUGUUGGGCACAACUUGGUGCCCAGUAUCGAAGCUAACGCGUUAAGUUCGCCGCCUGGGGAGUACGGUCGCAAGACUGAAACUCAAAGGAAUUGACGGGGGCCCGCACAAGCGGUGGAGUAUGUGGGUUUAUUCGAUGCACGCGAAGAACCUUACCUGGUCUUUACAUCCACGGAACUUUCCAGAGAUGGAUUGGUGCUUCSGGAACGUGAGACAAG
rnacentral:rRNA from 1 species